AGGCUUAACACAUGCAAGUCGAACGGGAAGGUUCCUUCGGGAACCGGCGAGUGGCGCACGGGUGAGUAACGCGUGGGGAUCUGCCUCGAAGUGGGGAAUAACCGCUGGAAACGGCGGCUAAUACCGCAUACGCCCUCAGGGGGAAAGCUUUAUGCGCUUCGAGAUGAACCCGCGUCGGAUUAGCUAGUUGGUGAGGUAAAGGCUCACCAAGGCGACGAUCCGUAGCUGGUCUGAGAGGAUGAUCAGCCACACUGGGACUGAGACACGGCCCAGACUCC
rnacentral:rRNA from 2 species